rnacentral:lncRNA from 1 species
UUCUCUGGUGCCUGACUGGAGUCUGGGUGAUAGCCUUUAAAACACCUUGAAACCUGUAGCCACCACUUCAGCCAAACGCCCAGCCCGCCAUGAAAGCAUCUAGAAGCACAGCGAAAUGGCGCACGAGGAGGCUCCAAAUUCUUCCUCCCUUCACCUUUCCCUUUCCUGCAGGGCCCCUUGCACCCACUCCAUCCCUGACCCUGCUCAGGGUUAGUAAACCUGGGGCUCUAGGUGGUGGCCCUGAACUCUUCCAGUGUGAAUCUUCACAACGGAAUCUUCACAACAUCUCUGCAAGGUGGAUAAUUAUUAGCUCGAUUUCAUAGUGGGAAAAUCAAGGCUCAGAUGAACCUUCCUCAAGUCCUGGUAAACAAGGAACGGAGGCAGGGCUUAAACUCGGCUGCUGUGGCUCCAAAUCCUCACCUUUUGCUCCCACUCUGGUGCCU